CCCUUAGAUGUUCUGGGCCGCACGCGUGCUACACUGACCGGCGCAACAAGCUUUUUUCCUUGGCUCGACAGGCCUGGGUAAUCUUCGAACGCCGGUCGUGAUGGGGAUAGAUCCUUGCAAUUUUUGAUCUUCAACGAGGAAUUCCUAGUAAAUGCGAGUCAUCAUCUCGCGUUGAUUACGUCCCUGCCCUUUGUACACACCGCCCGUCGCACCUACCGAUUGAAUGGUCCGGUGAAGCGUUCGGACCGUGGCCUUUGGACGGUUCGCCGUCUGUUGGCUGCGGGAAGUUCGUUAAACCUUAUCAUUUAGAGGAAGGAGAAGUCGUANCA
rnacentral:rRNA from 1 species